GUUUUAAUAUUUUAAUUAAUAAAUAUUAGUCUUGUAAACUAGAGAUAGGAAUAAUACCUUUAAAACU
rnacentral:tRNA from 1 species